rnacentral:rRNA from 1 species
UACGUAGGGUCCGAGCGUUGUCCGGAAUUACUGGGCGUAAAGGGCUCGUAGGCGGUCUGUCGCGUCGGUAGUGAAAACUCAGGGCUCAACCCUGAGCGUGCUUUCGAUACGGGCAGACUAGAGGUAUGCAGGGGAGAAUGGAAUUCCUGGUGUAGCGGUGGAAUGCGCAGAUAUCAGGAGGAACACCGAUGGCGAAGGCAGGUCUCUGGGCCACUACUGACGCUGAGAAGCGAAAGCAUGGGGAGCGAACAGGAUUAGAUA